UUAUAUAAUUUGUUUGUGCAAACAACGCUUGGUUUCGAUGCUCCAUGCGUAAAAAGGCGUGACUCGGUAGGUAUAAAAGAGUGACGUUGACUUGGUAAACACAAACAAUUCCAUUCGCUUCUACAAGCAACAAUAGCAAACAGCACAAGCAUGAGAAUCGUGAUCGCAUUAGCGUGUUUGGUGGCGUUGGUGGCUGCAGCGGAGGAGACGCAGCAGGUCAAAACGACUGUUUCUGAUCUAGAAACUGCAGAGCAUCGCAAUAAGGGAUACAAGUGGCGUAAAGGCCGUUCCCCUGGAGAAGAAGCGGCUGUUGCGGAUCAAGAAACUGCUGAACAUCGUAAUAAGGGAUACAAGUGGCGUAAAGGCCGCUCACUCGGAGAAGAAGCGGCUGUUGCAGAUCAAGAAACUGCUGAACAUCGUAAUAAGGGAUACAAGUGGCGUAAAGGCCGUUCCCCUGGAGAAGAAACACUCUUGACAGACCUAGAAGCCGCUGAACAUCGUAAUAAGGGAUACAAAUGGCGUAAAGGCCGCUCACUCGGAGAAGAAGCGGCUGUUGCUGAUCAAGAAACUGCUGAACAUCGUAAUAAGGGAUACAAGUGGCGUAAAGGCCGCUCACUCGGAGAAGAAGCGGCUGUUGCAGAUCAGGAAACUGCCGAGCAUCGCAACAAAGGCUACAAAGGCCGUAAAGGCCGAUCUCUGGGAGAAGAGAAACCCUUGGCAGACUUAGAGACCGCUGAACACCGCAACAAGGGAUACAAAGGACGCAAAGGCCGCUCUGUCGUAGAGGAAGCCACUUCUGUGGACCAGGAGACCGCUGAGCAUCGCAACAAAGGCUACAAGGGACGUAAAGGUCGCUCAGUUGCAGAGGAAGCAGCUGUUGCAGAGCUGGAAACUGCUGAACAUCGCAAUAAGGGAUACAAAGGACGUAAAGGCCGCUCAGUCGUAGAAGAAACAGUUGCUGUAGAUCAGGAAACUGCUGAGCAUCGCAACAAAGGAUAUAAGGGACGCAAAGGCAGGUCCGUCUAAGAAGCGGAUCUAGAGGCAGCAGAGAAGAAACACAAGAUUUAUCGUGGUGGAAACGCUGGAUAUCGCGGAGGAUAUUGCAGUUACGGUGGUGGACAUGGAGGCUAUAGAGGAUCCUACUACAACUAAAAAACAUGUUAACAUUUUUUUAAAAUAAUCUUCGCUUCGCAGUAGUGUAUAGCCCGUAUAUGCAUGAACAAUACAAUUUCUUUGUGUUUUUUUAACUAAAAAAACCAUAUGUCAAGGACGAAUCAUUUUCGUGAGCAGGAUCACGACAAAGUGGAAACUGAUGAUUAAGGAAACAUGUUCUCCAAAAAUGGAAACUAAACUACGGAACGCCAUUUGACCUACAUUAUUAUAGACCACCCCUGUUCUAUGGUUUAUCAUUUAUCUCGGUAAUUUUAUAGAGAUCCUGCACUGCCAUCUAGUGAUAAUCUACUUUCCAGUAAUUAAGGCACUACCCAUUCACAAACUUGGUUUGAAAUCCCCCGCCCAUAAAUGAAAUAAACUACAAAUCCAACGUAAAAAA
rnacentral:sRNA from 1 species